AUUGAACGCUGGCGGAAUGCUUUACACAUGCAAGUCGAACGGCAGCACGGGGGCGAACCCUCGUGGCGAGUGGCGAACGGGUGAGUAAUACAUCGGAACGUGCCCACGUCGUGGGGGAGUAACUACGCGAAAGCGUAGCUAAUACCGCAUACGAUCUACGGAUGAAAGCGGGGAGUCGCAAGACCUCGCGCGAUUGGAGCGGCCGAUGGCAGAUUAGGUUGUUGGUGAGGUAAAGGACGUCACCAAGCCGACGAUCUGUAGCUGGUCUGAGAGGACGACCAGCCACACUGGGACUGAGACACGGCCCAGACUCCUAC
rnacentral:rRNA from 1 species